rnacentral:lncRNA from 1 species
ACCUGCAGCCAAUGCCCUCAGUCCUCAUACCAACCUCCAAAUCCUGGGUGAACGUUUCUGAGUUUGUCCCCAAUUAAGGGUCAAGAGCCCGUUCCUGACAGCUGGGAGUGCUCUGUCCUUCCACUGUCUGCAGUUUUCUGGGACAGUGCACUUGACUUGAGGGAGAUGGCUCCCCAGCCACUUCCCUGCCUCUCCCGGGGGCUGCGGUGGACUCCCUGGCCUGGCUGCCACAGAGACAGCCAGUUAUAGGGGCUUGAUGUCUGCCCUCCUUGGGCGCUGGGGGCCUCCACCUCCAAUCUUGUGUGUGAGACCCUCGUUGCUACCAUUUCUUCCUCACACUUCACUGAUGGCCACCAAGAGUUCUAUCCCGAACACAGUGAGAUUCGCCACCAUACACACCACAAGAAACAAAAAAGGAACGAAGGAAAGAAAAGUAUGAGUCUAAUGGGCUUGUACCAUAUGACUUACUGAGUUGAUAAAAAUUUAAUAGUUGGUCAUUUGGUUUUCUGUCAUUAAUAAGCCACAUGGAGAAAUCAACGGGGCAGUUUAGCAGUGGCCUUUAAAUAUCUAGUUCUAGAAAAGAACUUUCACCUUUUGGUAACUUAUGAUAAUGUUCAUUAGCAUGUUUUUCCCCUAGACUUUGAAAGUGUGUGAAAACAUCACCCAGUGAGCAGUACAGAGAUCAUUAACUGUACAUGAAUUCCAGUGUAAACUUGUUUCUCUGCCUUCAAAACCAGUUGACUGAGAACAGAUUUAAAAGCUUAAAAAGGAAGAUAGAUCACAAAGAUUUAAAAUAAAGGCUGCAUUUUCAACUGAAUUAUUAAGCGUAAACCCACCCUAUGGGAAUGCCCCCCAGAGACAUUUGGAAUUCAUGGAGAAAAAUGUUGGGGAAACAGUUGCUUUUCAGGUCAGCCCAUAGGACAGGUUUAGUCUUGUACAGCAAAGUCCUAUUAACCGCUUUUUCGUUUUCUUAAGUCAAGAAUAUUUGUGUUUAAAAAAGUAUUGGGCGAAAAUAAUGUUUGCAAUCAACUAGAGCUAAAUAUUUGUUCUCUGCUGUCUUUUCCUCCAGUCGUAUCCACCGAGACUCCCCUGAGGAGUGCGUCUGUCGCAUACAGGUGCUGAUUUGCGGGCUCACCUGUGUCUCAGGUGAAUUUCCUCCUCUCCUGAUCAGGACGCCACACCCCUCCCUCACGCUGGGGCGAGCAUCAAUCUCACAGCAUCCAUACAGGUCUGCAGUGACCUCAGUUGUUGCCCCCUCCUCAGAAGGAGUUCGACUGAGGAAGCAGAAGGCAGAAGGAGAGACCAACCAAGGCAAGGUUUAGAGG